rnacentral:rRNA from 1 species
CCUACGGGAGACAGCAGUGGGGAAUAUUGGACAAUGGGGGAAACCCUGAUCCAGCGACGCCGCGUGAGUGAAGAAGUAUUUCGGUACGUAAAGCUCUAUCAGCAGGAAAGAAAAUGACGGUACCUGACUAAGAAGCCCCGGCUAACUACGUGCCAGCAGCCGCGGUAAUACGUAGGGGGCAAGCGUUAUCCGGAUUUACUGGGUGGAAAGGGAGCGUAGACGGCAGCGCAAGUCUGGAGUGAAAUGCCGGGGCCCAACCCCGGAACUGCUCUGGAAACUGUGAAGCUGGAGUGCAGGAGAGGUAAGCGGAAGUCCUGGUGUAGCGGUGAAAUGCGUAGAUAUCAGGAGGAACACCGGCGGCGAAGGCGGCUUACUGGACUGUAACUGACGUUGAGGCUCGAAGGCGUGGGGAGCAAACAGGAUUAGAUACCCGAGUAGUC